rnacentral:lncRNA from 1 species
CAAGAUUUCAAAAGUCUACGCCUGCCAUUCUCUGCUAGCUCUCUCCGCCUCGCCUUUGUGGACCGAGAUGCAAGCUCUCAGCUCCGGCUCCAGCGCCAUGCCUGCAGGCUGCCAUGCUCCCCACAACAAUGGCCAUGGACUCUCUGAAAUUGAGGUUCUAGAGCCACCCUCGAGUUCCAGAGAUCCAGAUCUCAGACUUCAGCCAGUGCUGUCAGGACCAAGACGAGCUGCCUCUGCUGGAAUGCCAGCCCCUACGGCACAAGACUGGCUCUGCCAGCGGCCUUCUCGGUGCUUCCUGGGGAGAGCUGACUCACAGGCCGUUGGUGAAUGCUGCAGAGACCACAAGCAACAGCAAACCAAGCGGGUUGUUUUCAGUGCUAACCACCCUGACACAAAGGGUCUGCAGCAUUCUUCAGGGGCUUCUCGGGAGCACUAAAAAGAUCCUUCACUGCUUC